UACGAAGGGGGCUAGCGUUGCUCGGAAUCACUGGGCGUAAAGGGUGCGUAGGCGGGUCUUUUAAGUCAGGGGUGAAAUCCUGGAGCUCAACUCCAGAACUGCCUUUGAUACUGAAGAUCUUGAGUGCGGGAGAGGUGAGUGGAACUGCGAGUGUAGAGGUGAAAUUCGUAGAUAUUCGCAAAGAACACCAGUGGCGAAGGCGGCUCACUGGCCCGAGUACUGACGCUGAGGCACGAAAGCGUGGG
rnacentral:rRNA from 1 species